GGUUGAGAGGGCUGCGUAGGCGGUCCGUUGGAUUUUUUCCACUCGGCU
rnacentral:ncRNA from 1 species